UACGUAGGCAGCGAGCGUUGUUCGGAGUUACUGGGCGUAAAGCGUGCGUAGGCGGGGGCCCAAGGCUGGGGGGAAAUCUCCCGGCUUAACUGGGAGGGUGCGCCGGAAACUGGGUUGCUGGAGUACCGGAGAGGCAAGCGGAAUUCCUGGUGUAGCGGUGAAAUGCGUAGAUAUCAGGAGGAACACCCGUGGUGUAGACGGCUUGCUGGACGGUCACUGACGCUGAGGCACGAAAGCGUGGGGAGCAAACAGG
rnacentral:rRNA from 1 species